ensembl:lncRNA
AGCGGAUUGCGGUCGGCGGGUGAGUGCCGGCAGGUGAAGCGGAGUUCACGGCAGAAACACGGAGAGACAGAAACACCUGAGCGGGACACAAACCGAGACGAGAGGUCGGAGACAAAAAGUGAUUAGAAAGCCAAGGUUGUCAGGAUGUUCCCUCCUUCUGCUGCCGUUUCUGACACCCAGAGAGGAACUGCAAUGAGAGAAGGAAUCUGAUGCAUCAAGAGGAAUGAUGAGUGUCUCCAAGGAACUGAGCAUUUCACUUCUUCAGAAUGCAUGUUUUGGUUCUGAGAAAGCAGCAGCACACCUUAAGGUUGCCGUCAGAUGCCACAAGUCAGCUGAUAAAAGAGUCCGGCCCGGCAGCAUUCCUUCCCUACAUACCGAUCUGAUGAACCAGAUUAGCUGCUGCCUUCAUGCCUCCCUCAUUCCAGUCUCAUCAGGACUGGCUGCUGUGAAUACGUUCAUUGUCUCAGGCCAAGAAAAUCCAGACAAUCCCUUUGCAGUUGGAAGAGGAUGGGAUGUCCCGCGGAGCUUUUGUUUCCUGUGAUAGGAAACUUCAAUCACUUCAGCGCUCUGUUUUCAUUGGUCCACACAGUGUCUCAUGAAGACUCUCGAAGUGUCGUCUGAUUGGUCCCCCAAAUCCACUGAAGACCUGUCGGCCAAUCGGCUGCCAUCUGG